ACGACUACCACAUUUUUUCAUAGAAAAUUUUUAGCUGUGGACUUUCUUUAGAAGACUCUUGCAUUAAAUAUUUAUAUUUUCCUUCUUCUUGGAACAAGGAACAUAGGAAGUCUUGAUGCCAACUAAAGUGUCAUUAGAGAAUUAUAAAAGAUGUUUAAGCAGGAAAAACCUAAAGGAUGAUACAUUUGUUUCUCAUUGCAAAUUUUUUCAAACAAAUGUGGAGAUUUAUUCCACAACCUUCAGCUUCCCAGGCCCAGGAUAACCAUCCACAAAGCCAUGGGUGAUAGAUGAUAUAAAAUUAUAAUUGAUUAAGCAAAAAUACUUCCUGAGAUCGAAAGCCAAAUUUUUUUUAUUGUAAGCUGCACAUUGUGUUGAAAAAACCAAAAGUGGAUAUUCCAAAAGAAGUUAACUGGCACCAUGAUUUAAUACUUCAUGAAUAACAGAUCCUUUCAUUCACUAAGUCUUGGUGGUCAAGCAAGUUGGUGUAGGAAAACAUAGUGACGCAGAGUUGUUUACCUUUUGUGCACAUUCUGUGUUGGCUUCUAUUCACCCAAGUAAUUAAUAAUCAUUUUUGUGUCUUCCCUAAAGCAAAGGAUUCCAGCAGCUGCUUGCUUCAUUUGAAUCCAGUUGACAAUCACAUUUACCAUCUGUUCCAAGUUUAAUGGGUGGUUUUUGUUUAGUAUAGUAAAAUUUAGCUUCAUCUGAUGGAAACAACCAUGUACCAAUCCUUUACACCCACCAAAACAACAAGAGAAGAGCUCAUCAUGGCCAAAGCUCAAGUUCUAGAGGUAUUAGAAAAGUCGUCGAUUUUUGGUUAGAGUUUCUACGCCGUCCGAUGCAUGAAUCGGAAUGAUGUUCACUUCCUCGACGUCAACACUCACAAAACUUUAUUGCAUUAUUCUUAUCUCGAGGUUAUAUCGACCCGCAAAGGUCAAACGUACGAGAUAUCCCUCCUCGUCCGGCAACUUACCAUCCAGCAACGCAUCCAUCAACAGAAUGUAUUAAAGAGGAAAUUAAUUGAACAAAUGCCUACUACGACGAUUUCCAUGCAAGAUGAAUGUUAAAAUCCAACGAGAUCUGGUGAGCAUGAUGAAACGGACUAUGUCUUGACAUGACCAUGACCAUUACCACCUGUAUUCAAUGGAUACCAUCAGAUCCCCAGAAUGAGAGGUUAAUAAUCAUACUGAAUCAAAAGAGGCAUCAAGUUAAACAAGAUUUUAAAAUGAUAACAGUUGGAAGCGCAUGUGGAAAUUUCGAAGAACGCUACCUAAACGUUACCUCUAGUCGCUGAUUCAUCUCGAAGAUAAAAUAAGAUAUUUUUAUAAAUUGAAGUGCAUAUCUGGACUCUCUUCUUUUCUGUGGCCCCGUUUCCCCUUGACUUAUGAUAAGCCCGUAGGGGGUCAUGCCCCUACUGUGAUCAGCAGCAAAGGUUGUGAGUGCG